CCUACGGGAGGCAGCAGUGAGGAAUAUUGGUCAAUGGCCGCGAGCCUGAACCAGCCAAGUCGCGUGAGGGAAGACGGUCCCAUGGAUUGUAAACUUCUUUUGUCGGGGAACAAAAGAAGCCUCGCGUGGCGUUCCGAGAGUACUCGAAGAAAAAGCAUCGGCUAACUCCGUGCCAGCAGCCGCGGUAAUACGGAGGAUGCGAGCGUUAUCCGGAUUUAUUGGGUUUAAAGGGUGCGCAGGCGGAAGGUUAAGUCAGCGGUAAAAUUGAGGGGCUCAACCUCGUCGAGCCGUUGAAACUGGUUGUCUUGAGAUAGUGAGAGGUAUGCGGAAUGCGUGGUGUAGCGGUGAAAUGCUUAGAUAUCACGCAGAACUCCGAUUGCGAAGGCAGCAUACCGGCGGUCAUCUGACGCUGAUGCACGAAAGUGUGGGUAUCGAACAGGAUUAGAUACCCUGGUAGUC
rnacentral:rRNA from 1 species